GACGUAGGGGGCCAGCGUUGUUCGGAAUUACUGGGUGUAAAGGGUUCGUAGGCGGUGUGGCAAGUCGGGAGUGAAAUCUCUGGGCUCAACCCAGAGUCUGCUUCCGAAACUGCUGUGCUUGAGUGUGGGAGAGGCGCGUGGAAUUGCAGGUGUAGCGGUGAAAUGCGUAGAUAUCUGCAGGAACACCCGUGGCGAAGGCGACAUCCUGGACCGGUAUUGACGCUGAGGCGCGAAAGCCAGGGGAGCAAACGGG
rnacentral:rRNA from 1 species